GACGGGGGGUCCAAGCGUUGUUCGGAAUCAUUGGGCGUAAAGCGUGUGCAGGUGGUUUUGUAAGUUGGAUGUGAAAGCCCCGGGCUUAACCCGGGAAGUGCAUUCAAAACUGCAAAACUUGAGUAUGGAAGAGGGUCGUGGAAUUCCUGGUGUAGUGGUGAAAUACGUAGAUAUCAGGAGGAACACCUGUGGCGAAAGCGGCGCACUGGACCACAACUGACGCUGAGGCGCGAAAGCUAGGGGAGCAAACAGG
rnacentral:rRNA from 1 species